UAAACUUAUUUUCAGCUAGCUCUUAUUUCAAGAAAUCUAAGUAAAAUCAACUAGAAGCACUGUAGCAGUAGCAAAAUUAGUGGUGUGUUCCCCACCUCCAUAACAUUGACGUCUUUCUACAUGACUUACAGUGGCUGCUUCUGGCGGAAAAAAACUUCCAAUAUUCCUCGUCUUUGAAGGGGGUGGCAGCAUGUUGUAUUUCUGUCGGGCUGUGAAUACGUGUGUGUGGGGGGGUUCAAGUCAUCAGCCCAUCAAACGUGCGUUUGAGUAAAAAAGAAAAUAGACUGGAACAUUCAGCGAGUGAAAAGGUCAGUGUAAGUCUGAACAUAAUGAAAGUACUGUAAUUCACUUAAUAUUGGUAAGAUAAAACUUAUCCUUACAACAUAUAGGGAGACAAUCUAAAUGGCCUGUAUGACUGAAGUCAUUAUAUAAUGCAAAUAAGGUUGCCAAAAAGUUGGUGGGGAUAAUUUGAGCAUCCUGAAAAGUUGGUCGUGUUAUGUCCCUACCGUCCCUAUGCAAACCUAGGCCCUUGAUUCUGAGCCUUCAAAUUGAGGUAUUGAUAGUGAUGACUAGAACUCGGAUAUGUUGAUCAUAUUUAUUGAAUAUUUUUUGACUCCAAUGAUCAGGUAAAGUCGUGAUGGAAUUUCCAAACGCUUGAUCUUCUUACGCUGAAGUUUUAGCACUUGAACGUUUCUACUUCCGGGUCACUUGACGCAACCUCUAUGUACCCAUCCGGGGCUUGCUGUUCUUUCGUGUUCCAUUCUCCAAACCAAACGUCCUCCUUCAAAGCAAUUUAAUUGGCGUCUCCCACCCACGACAAAAAAAGGGCAAGGAAACUGGACUCACUUUUCACCGUUUUCCUGCGUGGAGGACCAAAUAUCAGAUCACGAAGGCACGACGGAUGGCUUGGGUCGCAGCGGUUCGUCGGAAAAGCAUUUCUUCUGGAAUGAGAGUGUGUUCCCGUCAUCUCUACUCUUCUUGUUGUGUUCCUAGGUAAACCUGCGUAUGAAAUGCUGACAACACAUCCCGAUUGGUCACCGUCUGUCUUCUUGGAUUAUUUGACAAAAAAAUUUGUUCCAUUUGUCUUGUGUCGGACUCAAAUAAGCCUAAGCAGCAGACACCAUCUGGGUCUGCCCUUUUUGUCAAUGGACUGCGGGCUUUUAACUUGUGAAAAUGCAAGAAUUUAAAUAGCCAAGCAGAAUAAAUAUGUGCAUUUAACUAAGGCCAGUGUUUUUUUUUUAACCACUUUGACAAAGACGUUUAAUUGUAAUAUUGUAUAUAUUCUAUGAUUAUAAUAUAUUCUUGUUUGCUCUAAUGUAGACUUUAGACUGUCAAUUCAUAUAGUGUUGGAAAAGUUGCAAUACCUAAAAUAGAAAUGCAAGAACUGUA